AUUGAACGCUGGCGGCAUGCCUUACACAUGCAAGUCGAACGGCAGCACGGGAGCAAUCCUGGUGGCGAGUGGCGAACGGGUGAGUAAUAUAUCGGAACGUGCCCAGUAGUGGGGGAUAGCCCGGCGAAAGCCGGAUUAAUACCGCAUACGACCUGAGGGUGAAAGCGGGGGAUCGCAAGACCUCGCGCUAUUGGAGCGGCCGAUAUCAGAUUAGCUAGUUGGUGGGGUAAAGGCCUACCAAGGCUACGAUCGGUAGUUGGUCUGAGAGGAUGAUCAGCCACAAUGGAACUGAGACACGGUCCAUACUCCUACGGGAGGCAGCAGUGGGGAAUUUUACGCAAUGGGCGAAAGCCUGACGUAGCGACACCGCGUGAGCGAAGAAGCCUUUUGGGGUGUAAAGCUCUGUCAGCUGGAACGAACACAAUGACGGUACCAGCAGAGGAAGCAUCGGCUAGCUACGUGCCAGCAGCCGC
rnacentral:rRNA from 1 species